AGCGGGGUGGGGUAGCCAGGAAACCGCGAGGCUUAUGCGAUACCUCUUUGUAUCAUGCCUUCGGCCUGAUAUCCCGACGGGCUCAUAACCCGUAGAUCGAUAGUUCAAAUCUAUCCCCCGCUA
rnacentral:tRNA from 1 species